UGAAUGCAUGCCCAAGAUAGAAUCUAUCAAAAUGACUGCAAUAAAAGUGAAGGAAGACGGAAAGAAUGUAUAAAAAAUCUCAUAACUGCUGCCAAGACCUGCGUGAUGCUGGAAACUCCAAGAGCGGCCAAUGAAUAAAAGAAAGAUGGAAGGCAGGUCAAAUUGCUUGAAAGAAACUGAAAGGGAUAGUGCAAAUCUGUGUAUUACUAUCCAAAACUACACGAUAAAUGAAGCUCGGUUUAAGGUAGUCCAGAUUUAGAGAUUCAAAUUGCUUGACUACAGAUGACCUACAAACCCGAGGACGGACCGGAAAGACUCUUCUCCCCAGUUUGGAACCAGUGUGAGGAUACAAUUGCAUGUAUUUGCUGGCCCUCCAUCUGACAAGAUAAUGAAGGUGAACAUCGAUGCUAUCACCAACAUAUCGAAGUAUAGACGCCAAAGGUUUGAUUUAGUCGAACAGAAUUUGAUUAUUGAUUCGAAGCAGGGAUGUUCUGGAUUUAUUGAUUUGUCGUAACAAAUAAUCAGGGUUUGUGCAAUUUGUAUGGUUUUUAAUUAAUUUGUACCAAUUACUGGCAUGUCAUUGUCAAUGUACGAAUCUCAGUUCUCAAGUUGCUCUUUCCACUAUCUUAGCAGACAUAGCUAAGGAAAAUUCCUAUCUUAAAUUUCUUUCAUAUUCAGAAUAGGGAUGGAAUUGACUCAAAAAGUGUUCUGCUCGGGGAAUGCAACUAUGGAAUUGAUGAUGUUGAAUAGUAUAUUCUGAACCACAUAAAGUUGGAUAUUUCCUUCUUUAACUCGCAGCUGAAUGAGAUGUUGGUGCUUUUGUAUGCAAGGUAACAAUCAUUUUCAAUUUUAUUCUAAUUAUUACUCAAGAGUUUUGCAGCCCCUGUAAGGGCUUAAGAGUUUUGCAGCCCCUGUAAGUAUUCAUGCUGGAGCUUGCAGGUUGGGCUUCUGUUUUAAUUCUUCUAGAUAAGGUUAACUAAAAAUGUCUUAUGGUACAU